rnacentral:rRNA from 1 species
CGUACACUCCUGCGGGAGGCAGCAGUGGGGAAUAUUGGACAAUGGGCGCAAGCCUGAUCCAGCCAUGCCGCGUGAGUGAUGAAGGCCCUAGGGUUGUAAAGCUCUUUCACCGGUGAAGAUAAUGACGGUAACCGGAGAAGAAGCCCCGGCUAACUUCGUGCCAGCAGCCGCGGUAAUACGAAGGGGGCUAGCGUUGUUCGGAUUUACUGGGCGUAAAGCGCACGUAGGCGGACUAUUAAGUCAGGGGUGAAAUCCCGGGGCUCAACCCCGGAACUGCCUUUGAUACUGGUAGUCUUGAGUUCGAGAGAGGUGAGUGGAAUUCCGAGUGUAGAGGUGAAAUUCGUAGAUAUUCGGAGGAACACCAGUGGCGAAGGCGGCUCACUGGCUCGAUACUGACGCUGAGGUGCGAAAGCGUGGGGAGCAAACAGGAUUAGAAACCCCGUGUAGUCCCAUGA